rnacentral:rRNA from 1 species
AGCAGUCGCCGCGGGAAUACGGAGGGUGCAAGCGUUAUCCGGAUUCACUGGGUUUAAAGGGUGCGUAGGUGGGCAGGUAAGUCAGUGGUGAAAUCUCCGGGCUUAACCCGGAAACUGCCGUUGAUACUAUCCGUCUUGAAUGUAGUGGAGGUGAGCGGAAUAUGUCGUGUAGCAGUGAAAUGCGUAGAUAUGUGGAGGAACACCGAUGGCGAAGGCAGCCCCCUGGGCUAAGAUUGACGCUCAUGCACGAAAGCGUGGGGAGCAAACAGGAUUAGAUACCCCUGUAGUCCCUGUCUCUUAUAC